rnacentral:rRNA from 1 species
GAUGAACGCUGGCGGCGUGCCUAAUACAUGCAAGUCGAGCGAACGGACGAGAAGCUUGCUUCUCUGAUGUUAGCGGCGGACGGGUGAGUAACACGUGGAUAACCUACCUAUAAGACUGGGAUAACUUCGGGAAACCGUAGCUAAUACCGGAUAAUAUUUUGAACCGCAUGGUUCAAAAGUGAAAGACGGUCUUGCUGUCACUUAUAGAUGGAUCCGCGCUGCAUUAGCUAGUUGGUAAGGUAACGGCUUACCAAGGCAACGAUGCAUAGCCGACCUGAGAGGGUGAUCGGCCACCCUGGACCUGAGCCACGGUCCAGACUCCUACGGGAGGCAGCGGUAGGAAAUCUUCCGCAAUGGGCGAAAGCCUGACGGAGCAACGCCGCGUGAGUGAUGAAGGUCUUCGGUUCGUAAAACUCUGUUAUUAGGGAAGAACAUAUGUGUAAGUAACUGUGCACAUCUUGACGGUACCUAAUCAGAAAGCCCCGGCUAACUCCGU